rnacentral:rRNA from 1 species
AGAGUUUGAUCCUGGCUCAGGAUGAACGCUGGCGGCGUGCUUAACACAUGCAAGUCGAACGAAGCAUUUAAGACAGAUUACUUCGGUUUGAAGUCUUUUAUGACUGAGUGGCGGACGGGUGAGUAACGCGUGGGUAACCUGCCUCAUACAGGGGGAUAGCAGCUGGAAACGGCUGGUAAUACCGCAUAAGCGCACAGUACCACAUGGUACAGUGUGAAAAACUCCGGUGGUAUGAGAUGGACCCGCGUCUGAUUAGCUGGUUGGCGGGGUAACGGCCCACCAAGGCGACGAUCAGUAGCCGACCUGAGAGGGUGACCGGCCACAUUGGGACUGAGACACGGCCCAGACUCCUACGGGAGGCAGCAGUGGGGAAUAUUGCACAAUGGAGGAAACUCUGAUGCAGCGACGCCGCGUGAGUGAAGAAGUAGUUCGCUAUGUAAAGCUCUAUCAGCAGGGAAGAUAGUGACGGUACCUGACUAAGAAGCUCCGGCUAAAUACGUGCCAGCAGCCGCGGUAAUACGUAUGGAGCAAGCGUUAUCCGGAUUUACUGGGUGUAAAGGGAGUGUAGGUGGCCAGGCAAGUCAGAAGUGAAAGCCCGGGGCUCAACCCCGGGACUGCUUUUGAAACUGCAGGGCUAGAGUGCAGGAGGGGCAAGUGGAAUUCCUAGUGUAGCGGUGAAAUGCGUAGAUAUUAGGAGGAACACCAGUGGCGAAGGCGGCUUGCUGGACUGUAACUGACACUGAGGCUCGAAAGCGUGGGGAGCAAACAGGAUUAGAUACCCGGGUAGUCCUAGUGGUC